rnacentral:tRNA from 1 species
UGUAUAAAAGUGUUUUGACGCACAGAAAACUUUGAUUUUUCAAGAUUAAGUUUAAUUCUUAAUUAUACAA